rnacentral:rRNA from 1 species
CACUGCCGAGAAAAGCCUCUAGAUAGAAAAUAGGUGCCCGUACCGCAAACCGACACAGGUAGUCAAGAUGAGAAUUCUAAGGUGAGCGAGCGAACUCUCGUUAAGGAACUCGGCAAAAUGACCCCGUAACUUCGGGAGAAGGGGUGCUCUUUAGGGUUAACGCCCAGAAGAGCCGCAGUGAAUAGGCCCAAGCGACUGUUUAUCAAAAACACAGGUCUCUGCUAAACCGUAAGGUGAUGUAUAGGGGCUGACGCCUGCCCGGUGCUGGAAGGUUAAGAGGAGUGGUUAGCUUCUGCGAAGCUACGAAUCGAAGCCCCAGUAAACGGCGGCCGUAACUAUAACGGUCCUAAGGUAGCGAAAUUCCUUGUCGGGUAAGUUCCGACCCGCACGAAAGGCGUAACGAUUUGGGCACUGUCUCAACGAGAGACUCGGUGAAAUCAUAGUACCUGUGAAGAUGCAGGUUACCCGCGACAGGACGGAAAGACCCCGUGGAGCUUUACUGUAGCCUGAUAUUGAAAUUCGGCACAGCUUGUACAGGAUAGGUAGGAGCCUUUGAAACGUGAGCGCUAGCUUACGUGGAGGCGCUGGUGGGAUACUACCCUAGCUGUGUUGGCUUUCUAACCCGCACCACUUAUCGUGGUGGGAGACAGUGUCAGGCGGGCAGUUUGACUGGGGCGGUCGCCUCCUAAAAGGUAACGGAGGCGCUCAAAGGUUCCCUCAGAAUGGUUGGAAAUCAUUCAUAGAGUGUAAAGGCAUAAGGGAGCUUGACUGCGAGACCUACAAGUCGAGCAGGGUCGAAAGACGGACUUAGUGAUCCGGUGGUUCCGCAUGGAAGGGCCAUCGCUCAACGGAUAAAAGCUA